CUUCGGGGUGGCCUCCCUGCUUAUAUCUCCUCUCCACCCCAGCCCAUCGUGCACACACAGGCAGAUUUAUCUCCCGAAACAGCGCUUUCAUCUUGACCUUCAAUGACUACAAUUCGAAGUCCUUCCUGCUCAGGCCAAGCCUUGGCGUUGGAGUGUACGGUCUCGUUUUUUAUUAUUUAAUGCUGAGCCCUUCUGCAAGAUUGGAAAGUAAUAAGUGAUAGAAACGUUUAAACCGUGUGGUCUUAACCGCGCUCUCUAGUCAGCUCAGGAAUUUCAAUCUCCACUAAACUUUAACACAUUAUCUUGGGUUGUUUCAUUACAAAGGGCAUAGUGUAAUACACUGGCCAAAGUUUAUCUUCCAACUUGCUGUAAGAACCAAGAAAACCAUCUCCCAAGUCUGAUUGCAAAAUCCUUCUAUAUUUCUAUGAGACGGAAAUAGAGGAAGAGAGUGGUCCUGGUUGCUAUCCCUGUUUACUGACUACAUCUCUGAACCCGCAAAUUCCACCUGGGCCCGAGUUGACCACCUCACGCAGCACCCACGAGUGCCUUCACGUCAUGUCUGCUUCUGAAAUACGCUUCAGUGGACCUGCCGUUCCAGGACAAGAAGGUUGCUAUCUUUAGUAUGGAAUUGUAAUGUGCAAGCAACUGCUUGAGCAUGGUUAGGUGAUGUCUCCUUUCCCCGCUGAAACUCGCUUUACAAAGCUUUGCCGAUUCAAACUAAUACAUGUCAAGCUUAGAUUUGUAAGAGCAACUACUUUUUAUCAUUAAGAUGGAUAACUCAGAAUAAUUCAUUAAGCCAGCCUGAGUUUUACUGGCUUCCCUGCUGUUGACUCAGAGCUCUGCUAAGGUUCUUUGUCUCUUUCUUUCUAUUCUUUUGACCCUCGCCCCUUCUUUCCCCCUUUCACCAACUAUUUAUGACCUGACACACAAAUGCAUCUACACAUUAUAUUUGGAACGAAGUAUUGAAUGUGUUUGGAAAUUGUGCUGGGAACAAUGAGGAAUGCAAAGAUGAUGAUGACAGCUCACUUGUCUUAAAGGAGAUGACACUCCA